rnacentral:lncRNA from 1 species
GAUGACUCAUAGACUCGGUUGCACUUCGAAUGAGGUGGAAUCUUACCGAUUCUUCGCUAAAUGUCAAUCUCGUCAAUUACGAGGGCACGUCAAACUGAUUAUCUAUACCUGCAGGCAUGAAUGCAGCGUCCCCAACAAAAAGGACGUCAGUACAAAUAAUGUACGGAGUAUGUAGGCAGAACUGAAACAUAACUAUAAUUUAACAUUAAUUAAGGACAUGGAAGAAACAUGGCGUAAAGGACUCAACCUAUAAGUCUGGAUAGCUUUGUAAAUCAUGAAAUUUUAUAAUAUCAUGCAUAUUCCUAUGAAUGUCAUGUUAUGCAUAGAUCCUACGUACAUAACAUCAUCAAACCUCUGAGGGCAUCCCAUCAUAUCAUUUCAGUCAUUGUGGGCAAUAUCAUCAUCGUAUACCAGCUGAUCAGGUGGUGGUGCGUAUAUAACGUCGUAACCUUUUUCCAUAUCCCAUAUACAUAUAUAUAUGCGUAUAUAACGUCGUCUGAUUCAUGGGUAAAUGCACAUGUAAAUGAAUGCAAUGCAUGAGAAGUACGUUAAUAAAAUCUCUCGGAAUGUCAUAAGACAAUUAUGCCUUUGAGUAAUAUCAUGAAGUAAACUUUUUCAACUUACGUAUUUUUUUUAGAAACAUGAACAGAUGAUAAAAUAAUAGGACACAUGAGAAUUCAAGAAUAUAGGUACCUCUAAUACUUCUAUGAAUAGAAUCAUUUUUGGCGAAACUAGUUACUUCAAUGGUUAAAGAUGCAGUUUCAUGAUUUUUAUUUGAUAGGUUUAACUUUUAUGUUCUUACCGCUAAAACCGUUAAACUUUGGAAGAUAUGAGUUCAAAAUCCAAAGCUAAUAUUUGUUGGAAUUGUAGUGAUUUUUACGCAUACAUCUAUAUUUUGUGUCAAUAACGUUGGUUCAGAUAAACCCGGUAAUUAUACUCUACAUCCGCCAGUGAUUUUAGGCGUGCAUGAUGCUAGCUGGACUUGGAAAGGCGGAAACUUUCAAUUUCUCCGUCUGUCAGUUGAUUUACGCAACUUGACUUGCGACUUAAGCGUAAUGAUGUUUGGUUGGCGAUCAAUUCAUUCUAAAUAUUUAUCUUCAUUUCAUCAAAUCUGUGUCAAGUGGCCACCAUAUGACUUUAGAGAACAAAAUAACCCUUAAAUGGGUCAAAUUGUACCUUUAAUUUUUGCAUUCACCGUUUGUAUUUCUUUGUAAGAAACUAUACCAGUUUAAAUAUUGUUACUAUAGUUUCUCUUAUAAGUCAUUAUACUUUAGCAAAUUUGUACUAAAUCUUUUGAUAUAAUUUAGGUUGAUCAUAACUAUAGCAUACUGCACUUUCGAGGUCAUAUCCCUCCUCUUAAUUUAAUUAAAACUCCUUUCUUAAUCUAUCAAGAUUGUGGUUUGUAAAUUAUUAACAGAUUAGAAUUAGUUGAUAAUAUUGCAUAUAACAUAUAAUUUGUUAGUAAUUACUACCAACAGAGCCUAAGUCCGUUGGUAAUUUACCAACUAAUAUUGAAAUAGUUUGAAAAUUUACCAACAUACAGGUGAAAUUGGUUGGUAAAUUACAAACUAGUGUUGAACUUUUGGUAAAUUUAAUGACAGAUACUAAAUCAAUUUAUAUUUUGUGACAAAUCUAGCAUUUAGUGAUAAUUUUUAUGGCAAUCUCAUAAUACAGAGAAUAGUCUAGUCGUUGAAACUUAGUCGUGUCAUUUUUUUUAGUUUCGUUUAUAUCGUACGAAUCAUGUUAAAAGAAAAGAAGGGAUAGCCUUAACAUACCUGAGACGAUUCUCUAGACAAUACGUCUUUUGCGAAGAACACGUAAUACCAGAUAAAAGUAGAGAAAAAUCCUUACGAUAUUCUUGAGAAAGAUUGUAACAGAAAAUCUCUGACUCCACAACACUUCCACAUCUAUAGAUGGUUAAGAAAGUACAACCCUCUAGAUGUUAUGAAAAUUAAAACGUGAAAUCUCUUUAAUUUUUUUCCAGUUAAUGAAGCACCUCAAGCAACAUGCUACACAAACAAGCAAUGUACCACAACAAGGCCACCUGAAUAUCACAUUUUAUCGAAGUCCAGUGAACUUUCAUCGAAGAAAACCCAUUU